AACGAACGCUGGCGGCAGGCCUAACACAUGCAAGUCGAGCGAAGCCUUCGGGCUUAGCGGCGGACGGGUGAGUAACGCGUGGGAACGUGCCCUUUGCUACGGAAUAGCCCCGGGAAACUGGGAGUAAUACCGUAUGUGCCCUUCGGGGGAAAGAUUUAUCGGCAAAGGAUCGGCCCGCGUUGGAUUAGGUAGUUGGUGGGGUAAUGGCCUACCAAGCCGACGAUCCAUAGCUGGUUUGAGAGGAUGAUCAGCCACACUGGGACUGAGACACGGCCCAGACUCCUACGUGAGGCAGCAGGGGGGAAUCUUAGACAAUGGGGGAAACCCUGAUAUAGCCAUGCCGCGUGAUCGAUGAAGGCCUUAGGGUUGUAAAGAUCUUUCAGUGGGGAAGAUAAUGACUGUACCCACAGAAGAAGCCCCGGCUAACUCCGUGCCAGCAGCCGCAGUAACAC
rnacentral:rRNA from 1 species